CCGGAGAGAUACAACAAGGCGAGAUAACAAAGGUAAAACCCUAAUCUAGCCGCCCGGUGAGUAUCAGUGAUUUCGGAUCCCUUUCUCGUUGCGUUCCCUUCCCUUUAUAUAGUUGACCUCGUACUCUCCCGUGACCUAGUUUGCGUCGUCUUCGUGGGCUUUUAACUCGUUGGGCCGAGAAGCCCAUAUUGUCUCGAGUAGCCGUUGAGUCGAGGACGCUUAGACGCGCAUUUCAAGCCGUCGAGCCGAGACACCGUUUCGUUCUGAGUGGGUUGGGCCGUCUGUUCUUCGGGCCUCGAGGGAUGUCGAAUCCACCCUCUACA
rnacentral:lncRNA from 1 species